UCCGAGCAGCUCAGCUUGUCAUAAGGAAACCACCGGUCGAAGUCGAAGUUGACUCGUGUCUCUGGCCGACGGGAAGGCGGUCGCGGAAUCCUCGCCCCGCCUUCCUCCCCCGCGGAUCCAUAGCUCGCUUCCGGAACGAGGUCUCUUUCCAACUAGUCUCCGGCGACCCUGAAUGACCCUAAUUGCAUCUAAGCCCUGUUCUUUGGAACCCUAAUCUCGUGCCUCAUGACCUUCGGCUUCCCGUUGUUCAACUCAGAUUCCUGUUCUGACAUUGCCACUGGAUGCUAGCCGCAAAAGAUCCAUUCUUAUAGAGUUGGUAUAAAAGAAAGGUGUCUGCUGGUAGAACGACAACCGGUUUCAGGUGUAUCACAUGGAUCAUUAGUGUCUGCAGUAUCUGUUCUUCCAGUUGAACUUAUCACUACCAAGCCUCAGCUCUGCGCAUGAUCCUUGUUGCUGAUAUAAAGGUCACAAGGAGGCAUUUAAAUUCUUGACAUCUUAGAUUAGCUGAGGUGAAUAAUUAAGAUGACGUAAGGUCACUGUUUUUUCCUCCAGGGCUUCAUUUUUUGCCAUUUGAUGACAUGUCUAUAGAGUUCACUGUUUCCUUCUUAUUCCAUUAAUAGUCUGUAUCAAGAAGAGAUAGAGGAUACUAAAUCUUGUAUUUGUUAGUCCUAUGUCAAUCUUUAUUUGUUAGCAAUGAUCA